rnacentral:rRNA from 1 species
UAGGGAAUCUUCCGCAAUGGACGAAAGUCUGACAGAGCAACGCCGCGUGAGUGAAGAAGGUUUUCGGAUUGUAAAACUCUGUUGUCAGGGAAGAACACCCUAGAGGGGAUCUAGGACUGACGGUACCUGACGAGAAAGCCCCGGCUAACUACCUG